UACAGAGGGGGCGAGCGUUAUUCGGAAUUAUUGGGCGUAAAGGGCGCGUAGGCGGCCUUUCAAGUGACGGGUGAAAUCCCUCGGCUUAACCGAGGAACUGCCUGUCAGACUGGAAGGCUUGAGACCGGGAGAGGUGAGUGGAAUUCCCAGUGUAGCGGUGAAAUGCGUAGAUAUUGGGAGGAACACCAGUGGCGAAGGCGGCUUACUGGACCGGUACUGACGCUGAGGCGCGAAAGCGUGGGGAGCAAACAGG
rnacentral:rRNA from 1 species